GCCGGGGUGGCCUAGCCGGAGGGGCGUCAGACUCAUAAUCUGAAGGUCGCGGGUUCGAACCCCGCCCCCGGCA
rnacentral:tRNA from 2 species